rnacentral:tRNA from 1 species
GCAUCCAUAGCUCAGCCUGGAUAGAGUACUCGGCUACGAACCGAGCGGUCGGAGGUUCGAAUCCUCCUGGAUGCACCA